rnacentral:piRNA from 1 species
UAGGUAUCUCAUUGUGUCUUGUGCUUGA